AUUGAACGCUGGCGGCAGGCUUAACACAUGCAAGUCGAGCGGAGAUGAGGUGCUUGCACCUUAUCUUAGCGGCGGACGGGUGAGUAAUGCUUAGGAAUCUGCCUAUUAGUGGGGGACAACAUUCCGAAAGGAAUGCUAAUACCGCAUACGUCCUACGGGAGAAAGCGGGGGAUCUUCGGACCUUGCGCUAAUAGAUGAGCCUAAGUCGGAUUAGCUAGUUGGUGGGGUAAAGGCCUACCAAGGCGACGAUCUGUAGCGGGUCGGAGAGGAUGAUCCGCCACACUGGGACUGAGACACGGCCCAGACUCCUACGGGAGGCAGCAGUGGGGAAUAUUGGACAAUGGGGGGAACCCUGAUCCAGCCAUGCCGCGUGUGUGAAGAAGGCCUUAUGGUUGUAAAGCACUUUAAGCGAGGAGGAGGCUACUGAGACUAAUACUCUUGGAUAGUGGACGUUACUCGCAGAAUAAGCACCGGCUAACUCUGUGCCAGCCGCCGCCGUAAAAC
rnacentral:rRNA from 1 species